AUCCACGAGUCCCAAAUAGAACGAAACGUGCGUCCUGGAU
rnacentral:hammerhead_ribozyme from 1 species